AAUCCUAUUGCACAUCCAAGCAUCGUUGCACGCCCAUGUUGCCUUGCAAACCCAAAUCCCUUUGCACACCCAGAUCCUCUUGCACGCCCCGGUUGCGUUGCAAGUCCCACUUGUGUUGCACGCCCAAAUCCCAUUGCACAUCCAGGUGCUGUUGCACGCCCAAUCCCGUUGCACAUCCAAGUGUUGUUGCACGCCCACUUGUGUUGCACACCCCCAUCCCUUUGCACACCCAGCUCCAUUGCACACACCCCAACCCCUUUGCACACGCCAAUCCUGUUGCAUGCCCGUGACCCGUUGCACGUCCCAGUUGUGUCACACACCCCAAACUCCUUGCACGUCCCACUUGUGUCGCACAUCCAAGUUGUGUUGCACGCCCCACUGGCUUUGCACGCCCCAGUUGUUGCACACCCCAACCCUGUUGCACACUCAGAUCCUUGCAGCAAGUCCCAGUUGCGUGGCACAUCCAACUUGUGUUGCACACCCCAACCCCUUUGCACACGCAUCGUUGCACAUCCAAGUGCCGUUGCACGUCUCAGUUGCCUUCCACACCUGAAUCCAUUUGCACGUCCCACUUGUGUUGCACGCCCAAGAUCCCUUUGCACAUCCACAUCCUGCUGCAAGUCCAAGCUGCCUUGCACACCCAAAUCUUGUUGCACACCCAGACGCUGUUGCACAUCCAAUCCCAUUGCACAUCCCAAUCUUGUUGCACGUCCCACUUGUGUUGCACGCCCAAAUCCCUUUGCACAUCCACAUCCUGCUGCAAAUCCAAGCUGCCUUGCACACCCAAAUCUUGUUGCACACCCAGGCGCUGUUGCACAUCCAAUCCCGUUGCACAUCCCAAUCUGGUUGCACGUCCCACUUGUGUUGCACGCCCAAAUCCCUUUGCAUAUCCACAUCCUGAAGAUCCUGCUGCAAAUCCAAGCUGCCUUGCACACCCAAAUCUUGUUGCACGCCCAGGUAUUGUUGCACAUCCAAUCCUGUUGCACAUCCCAAUCUGGUUGCACGUCCCGCUUGUGUUUCACGCCCAAAUCCCUUUGCACAUCCACAUCUUGCUGCAAAUCCAAGUCGCCUUGCACACCCAAAUCCCGUUGCACACCCAAUCCCUUUUUCACGUCCAAGUGUCGCUGCAAGGCCAGGUUGCAUUGCACACCCAACCCCGUUGCACGUCCAGGUCUCAUUGCACGCCCCAAUCCUGUUGCACGCCCCCAUAGCUUUGCACGCCCCAUUGCACUUCCCAGGUCGCAUUGCACACCCAGAUCCUGUUGCACAAUCAGGUCCUGCUGCAAAUCCAGGUUGCGUUGCACACCCCAGACCCAGUCGUGUUGCACACCCAAGUCUCAUCGCAUGCCCCGGGUUGCAUUGCACACUCAGGACCCAUUUGCACAACCAGGUCCUGCUGCGAGUCCCAGUUGUGUUGCACAACUCAAUAGCUUUGCAAAUCCGGAUCCUUGCACACCUCAAUCCCUUUGCACACCCCAACAGCUUUGCACGUCCCAGCUGCAUUGCACACCCCAGUCCCAUUGCACGUCCCUGUUGCGUUGCACGCUCAGAUCCAUUUGCACAUCCAGGUCCUGCAGCAAGUCCAGGUUGCCUUGCACGCCCCAAUAG
ensembl:lncRNA